AUUGAACGCUGGCGGCAGGCCUAACACAUGCAAGUCGAACGAGUGGCGGACGGGUGAGUAAUGUCUGGGAAACUGCCUGAUGGAGGGGGAUAACUACUGGAAACGGUAGCUAAUACCGCAUACCAUCAGAUGUGCCCAGAUGGGAUUAGCUUGUUGGUGGGGUAACGGCUCACCAAGGCGACGAUCCCUAGCUGGUCUGAGAGGAUGACCAGCCACCCUGGAGUUGAGACAGGUUCCAGACUCCUACGGGAGGCAGCAGAGGGGAAUAUUGCACAAGUGGCGCAAGCCGGAUGCAUCCAUGCCGCGUAUUUAAAGAAGGCCUUCGAGUUGUAAAGUACUUUCAGCGGGAAGGCGUUACCCGCAGAAGAAGCCCCGGCUAACUCCGUGCCAGCAGCCGCGGUAAUAC
rnacentral:rRNA from 1 species